GAUGAACGCUAGCGGCAGGCUUAACACAUGCAAGUCGAGGGGUAACAGGGAGUGCUUGCACUCUGCUGACGACCGGCGCACGGGUGCGCACCGCGUAUGGAAUCUGCCUCUUGCUGGGGAAUAGCCCAUGGAAACGUGGAUUAAUGCCCCAUAGUACUUAUUUACGGCAUUGUAGAGAAGUUAAAGGUUUCGGCCGGCAAGAGAUGACCAUGCGUCCCAUUAGCUAGAUGGUAAGGUAACGGCUUACCAUGGCGACGAUGGGUAGGGGCCCUGAGAGGGGGAUCCCCCACACUGGUACUGAGACACGGACCAG
rnacentral:rRNA from 1 species